rnacentral:rRNA from 1 species
UGCUUGCAUCAUGAUUUACAUUUGAGUGAGUGGCGAACUGGUGAGUAACACGUGGGAAACCUGCCCAGAAGCGGGGGAUAACACCUGGAAACAGAUGCUAAUACCGCAUAACAACUUGGACCGCAUGGUCCGAGUUUGAAAGAUGGCUUCGGCUAUCACUUUUGGAUGGUCCCGCGGCGUAUUAGCUAGAUGGUGGGGUAACGGCUCACCAUGGCAAUGAUACGUAGCCGACCUGAGAGGGUAAUCGGCCACAUUGGGACUGAGACACGGCCCAAACUCCUACGGGAGGCAGCAGUAGGGAAUCUUCCACAAUGGACGAAAGUCUGAUGGAGCAACGCCGCGUGAGUGAAGAAGGGUUUCGGCUCGUAAAACUCUGUUGUUAAAGAAGAACAUAUCUGAGAGUAACUGUUCAGGUAUUGACGGUAUUUAACCAGAAAGCCACGGCUAACUACGUGCCAGCAGCCGCGGUAAUACGUAGGUGGCAAGCGUUGUCCGGAUUUAUUGGGCGUAAAGCGAGCGCAGGCGGUUUUUUAAGUCUGAUGUGAAAGCCUUCGGCUCAACCGAAGAAGUGCAUCGGAAACUGGGAAACUUGAGUGCAGAAGAGGACAGUGGAACUCCAUGUGUAGCGGUGAAAUGCGUAGAUAUAUGGAAGAACACCAGUGGCGAAGGCGGCUGUCUGGUCUGUAACUGACGCUAAGGCUCGAAAGUAUGGGUAGCAAACAGGAUUAGAUACCCUGGUAGUCCAUACCGUAAACGAUGAAUGCUAAGUGUUGGAGGGUUUCCGCCCUUCAGUGCUGCAGCUAACGCAUUAAGCAUUCCGCCUGGGGAGUACGGCCGCAAGGCUGAAACU